AGUCAGCACUCAGUGACAACACCUACAAGAAUCCUGCCCUCCUCGCGGCCCUCCCCACAUCCUCUUCCCUGGGGGCCACGUCCUCAUUUCUGGCUCCCAUCCCAUUUGGCCUGUCGGUAACACUUCCUGCAUUUCUUACCAAGACCAUGUGGCCCAUGUCUAUACCACACUACAUUCCUGCUCUAACUCACACAGGUUCCAAACUCCCUCCAUCACCAUCGUAACCAUUCACAUCUCUGCAGGGCUCUAAGACUUCCGAUGGUUUUAUGGGUUGGACCAGACAGCUUCUGAGGUCCCUUCCAAUUCUCAACUUCUGUCUCUCUGCUUUUUGGAAGAGAGCCUUACUUUAUAUUAUGUUGUCUCAUCCUCUUCACCACCCUAUGGAACAGGUUCUCUUUCCACUCCCAUUUUACAAAGCUAGAGAAGCUAAGAGAUGACUUAAGUGGUUUACCCAGCCUCACCUGUCUGAGGCAGAAUUUGAACCAGAUAUCCCUGACUCCAUGUCUGGUCCCCUGUCUAUGGCUCACACAUCAAAGUUGACGAUUGGAUCCAAUAUUCCUCAUGAGAGAAUAAGAGAAACAGGGAGAAGGAAGACAUUAAUCUCAUCUCCUAAUUCCUUAGAUCUCUGAACCAACUCAAAUGCUUUUUCAGGCAGUGUUUGAUUAAGUGACCAGGGAAGUGCCUUCCAACACUGAGAUGCCAUUUUUCCUCAUUACUUAUGAUGGUGAUGGUUCGUUAUCUUUGUCAGUCAACAAGUAUUGAUUCAGGUGGAGUGUGCCCGGUGCUGUGGGAAAGAUGAAAGGAGUCCAAGACAUGGUUCCCUUCAAGAAAAUGUCCAUAGCCUUGGGGAAAUGGUCUGACCAGCAGCAAAAGAGAACAGCAUGUAUCUAUAGAUCAGCACUUCUUAAGGUACAAAUUCCAGGUCUCAAAUCUUUUGCCAGAAGAUUUCUUUUAAAGAGAAGUGAAUUUGCUGUGUGUGGUCAGCCUUGUGUCUGUGGAUUCACACUCAAAUAGGACACCAUUAAGUGAAUGUCCUUCCUAUGGAUCACAUGAGGACGCUGUGAUCUUGCUCAUUUAUUGAGAAGUGUGCAGUCUAU